GACGAACGCUGGCGGCGUGCUUAACACAUGCAAGUCGAACGGAAAGGCCUGCUUUCCCUUGUGGAUUGCGGGUACUCGAGUGGCGAACGGGUGAGUAACACGUGAGUGAUCUGCCCCCAACUUGGGUAUAAGCCUGGGAAACUGGGUCUAAUUCCCGAUAGGACUGCAGGGUGGUGCCUGUGGUGGAAAACGAUUUUCUAGUGGUUGGGGAUGAGCUCGCGGCCUAUCAGCUUGUUGGUGGGGUAAUGGCCUACCAAGGCGGCGACGGGUAGCCGGCCUGAGAGGGUGGACGGCCACAUUGGGACUGAGAUACGGCCCAGACUCCUACGGGAGGCAGCAGUGGGGAAUAUUGCACAAUGGGCGGGAGCAUGAUGCAGCGACGCCGCGUGGGGGAUGACGGCCUUCGGGUUGUAAACUCCUUUCGACCGCGAGGAAGCCACCUGGUUGGAAGGGUGGUGACGGUAGUGGUAGAAGAAGCACCGGCUAACUACGUG
rnacentral:rRNA from 1 species